rnacentral:rRNA from 1 species
UACGGAGGGAGCAAGCGUUACUCGGAAUUAUUGGGCGUAAAGGGCGCGUAGGCGAUUUGAAAAGUCUUGUGUGAAAGCCCCGAGCUUAACUCGGGAAGUGCACAAGAAACUGUUGAAUUUGAGUUCCGGAGAGGAAGGCAGAAUUCCCGGUGUAGCGGUGAAAUGCGUAGAUAUCGGGAGGAAUACCAGUGGCGAAGGCGGGUCUCUGGGCCGAUACUGACGCUGAGGAGCGAAAGCGUGGGGAGCGAACAGG